UUGAAUACUCCUUGCUGAUCUAUGUUAGUGUCCCUGGCUCCAAGAAAGUCAUCCUCGAUCUGCCCCUAGUGAUUGGCAGCAGGUCGGGCCUAAGCAGCCGGACAUCCAGCAUGGCUAGCCGGACAAGCUCUGAAAUGAGCUGGAUAGACCUAAACAUCCCAGACACCCCAGAAGGUAAGCUUCAGCUAAUAAACUCUUCGUUUUGACCUGCUUGGGCUUGUGGAGUUGGGGUGGCCUGGGAGUUUCUUAGCUGGACUUCUGACCCCGUUUUCUCUUUUUCAGCUCCACCUUGCUAUAUGGACGUGAUUCCUGAAGAUCACAGACUGGAGAGCCCCACCACCCCCCUGCUAGAUGAUGUGGAUGAUUCUCAAGACAGCCCUAUCUUUAUGUACGCCCCCGAGUUCCAGUUCAUGCCUCCGCCCACUUACACUGAGGUGGAUCCCUGCGUCCUUAACAACAACAACAACAACGUGCAGUGAGCCUUCAGGGACGACUCAUCUGUACUACUCAACGCUUUCUGCCUCUCUGCUUGAACUCCAAUGUUUCAGAGACUCAGUCUCUCCAGUGGGGAGUGGGUACACCCCCGCCUCUGACUCCACAGAUGGGUGGCAAUCAGUAGGCAAGUCUCCAGCCUCAAGGGGUGCAGACCAGUGCCCGCACCGUGAUAUAGGAGUGUUUGCUGGGUGAAUGUCGGAACGCUCAAAACAUUCAGACCUGGCCCACUUUCCCAGAUGUUGGAAAUGAAGAAGUUGUUAUUUUUUUGAGUCGGGGUCUAAGUGACCUUCAGGCAUGGUCUUUCCAAGGUGUUUUGUUUUGAAGGGAAUUAAAAGAACAGACCAUGAACUUCUGUGCCAUGGGGCAACAGAGCCAAUGUCACAUACUAGAAAAAGAGAAAUCAUGGCCAAUAUUUUGAAAGCGAGGAGUGUUUUUGUUUUUUAAAAUCAGUGUUCCCUUUUUAUAUCUUUAC
rnacentral:lncRNA from 1 species